rnacentral:rRNA from 1 species
CGUCGGAUGAACGCUGGCGGCGUGCCUAAUACAUGCAAGUCGAGCGAACGGACGAGAAGCUUGCUUCUCUGAUGUUAGCGGCGGACGGGUGAGUAACACGUGGAUAACCUACCUAUAAGACUGGGAUAACUUCGGGAAACCGGAGCUAAUACCGGAUAAUAUUUUGAACCGCAUGGUUCAAAAGUGAAAGACGGUCUUGCUGUCACUUAUAGAUGGAUCCGCGCUGCAUUAGCUAGUUGGUAAGGUAACGGCUUACCAAGGCAACGAUGCAUAGCCGACCUGAGAGGGUGAUCGGCCACACUGGAACUGAGACACGGUCCAGACUCCUACGGGAGGCAGCAGUAGGGAAUCUUCCGCAAUGGGCGAAAGCCUGACGGAGCAACGCCGCGUGAGUGAUGAAGGUCUUCGGAUCGUAAAACUCUGUUAUUAGGGAAGAACAUAUGUGUAAGUAACUGUGCACAUCUUGACGGUACCUAAUCAGAAAGCCACGGCUAACUACGUGCCAGCAGCCGCGGUAAUACGUAGGUGGCAAGCGUUAUCCGGAAUUAUUGGGCGUAAAGCGCGCGUAGGCGGUUUUUUAAGUCUGAUGUGAAAGCCCACGGCUCAACCGUGGAGGGUCAUUGGAAACUGGAAAACUUGAGUGCAGAAGAGGAAAGUGGAAUUCCAUGUGUAGCGGUGAAAUGCGCAGAGAUAUGGAGGAACACCAGUGGCGAAGGCGACUUUCUGGUCUGUAACUGACGCUGA